GAGAUGGCUUCGUGCUCGAAGAGAGCCGUACACAGGUGCUGCAUGGCGUGUCGUCAGCUCGUGUCGUGAGAUGUUGGGUUAAGUCCCGCAACGAGCGCAACCUCGUCCUUAGUUGCUAACAGUUCGGCUGAGCACUCUAAGGAGACUGCCUUCGCAAGGAGGAGGAAGGUGAGGACGACGUCAAGUCAUCAUGGCCCUUACGGCCAGGGCUACACACGUGCUACAAUGGGGCGGUACAGAGAGCUGCGAUACCGCGAGGUGGAGCCAAUCUCUUAAAGCGUCUCUCAGUUCGGAUUGUUCUCUGCAACUCGAGAACAUGAAGCUGGAAUCACUAGUAAUCGCAGAUCAGCUAUGCUGCGGUGAAUACGUUCCCGGGUCUU
rnacentral:rRNA from 1 species